GAUGAAGAACGUAGUGAAAUGCGAUACGUAAUGUGAAUUGCAGAAUUCAGUGAAUCAUCGAGUCUUUGAACGCACAUUGCGCCCCCUGGUAUUCCGGGGGGCAUGCCUGUCCGAGCGUCAUUGCUGCCCUCAAGCACGGCUUGUGUGUUGGGCCUCCGUCCUCCUCCCGGGGGACGGGCCCGAAAGGCAGCGGCGGCACCGCGUCCGGUCCUCGAGCGUAUGGGGCUUCGUCACCCGCUCUUGUAGGCCCGGCCGGCGCUUGCCGACACAUCAAUCUUUUUUUCAGGUUGACCUCGGAUCAGGUAGGGAUACCCGCUGAACUUAAGCAUAUCAAUAAGCGGAGGA
rnacentral:misc_RNA from 1 species